AACGCACAUUGCGCCCCCUGGUAUUCCGGCGGGCAUGUCUGUUUGAGCGUCAGUACGCACCUCUGUUUCAGCUUUGCUGAGCAGGUCGUGGGCGCACCUUUCGAAAGACGGGUGCCCCUAACGUAGCACGCUUGCGGGCUCCCACACAGAUGUCAACGUAGUAAACUAAACGCUCGAUGAAAUCUUGUGGAGGCUUUGCCUGAACAAACCUUUUUGAGUUUGACCUCAGAUCAGAUAAGGAUACCCGCUGAACUUAA
rnacentral:misc_RNA from 2 species